CCUACGGGAGGCUGCAGUGGGGAAUAUUGGACAAUGGGGGCAACCCUGAUCCAGCCAUGCCGCGUGUGUGAAGAAGGCCCUCGGGUUGUAAAGCACUUUCAGUGAGGAAGAACGCCUGGUGGUUAAUACCCAUCAGGAAAGACAUCACUCACAGAAGAAGCACCGGCUAACUCCGUGUCAGCAGCCGCGGUAAUACGGAGGGUGCGAGCGUUAAUCGGAAUUACUGGGCGUAAAGCGCGCGUAGGUGGCUUGAUAAGCCGGUUGUGAAAGCCCCGGGCUCAACCUGGGAACGGCAUCCGGAACUGUCAAGCUAGAGUGCAGGAGAGGAAGGUAGAAUUCCCGGUGUAGCGGUGAAAUGCGUAGAGAUCGGGAGGAAUACCAGUGGCGAAGGCGGCCUUCUGGACUGACACUGACACUGAGGUGCGAAAGCGUGGGUAGCAAACAGGAUUAGAUACCCCUGUAGUC
rnacentral:rRNA from 1 species